UACAGAGGUCUCAAGCGUUGUUCGGAUUCAUUGGGCGUAAAGGGUGUGUAGGCGGAUUGUUAAGUCAGGGGUGAAAUCCUGGAGCUCAACUCCAGAACUGCCUUUGAUACUGGCGAUCUCGAGUCCGGGAGAGGUGAGUGGAACUGCGAGUGUAGAGGUGAAAUUCGUAGAUAUUCGCAAGAACACCAGUGGCGAAGGCGGCUCACUGGCCCGGAACUGACGCUGAGGUGCGAAAGCGUGGGGAGCAAACAGG
rnacentral:rRNA from 1 species